CACUUAUAUAUAUUUAUUUGAUUAUCAAUUAUUAUCAUAAUUUAUUGCAUAUACUAGAAAACUUUUACAAAAAUAGACAUUAAAACUAGAAAUAAGCAAUCUCUAUUUUCUUCCCACUCCACAGAGAACUGCCUUAUUUGUCCCCUUUGAAGACAAAUGUUCUUGAGCACUGGUUGAACUGGAUUUUCAGGCCAGGUCAAGGCCCAGUUCUUGAUGGUGCUAUCUUACUGCUACCUAUUCCAUGGCACACCCUCCAGAUAAGUCCCUUUCUCCAGUUACCAGCUACUGGUUUAGGUUUACCAGGAUACUUCCCUCUGAUAAAGAUGACUGAAGAAAUCUUCCCCUCAGAAAAUCACACGGUACCUUUGGCCUAUAAAUAUUACUGGCACUAGGGGCACCUGGGUGGCUCAGUUUGGUAAGUGUCCAACUCUUGAUCUCAGCUCAGGUCUUGAUCUCAGGGUCAUGAGUUCAAACCCUGUGAGGGCUAUACACUGGGUGUGAAGGCUACCAAAAAAAAAGAAUUUUUUUUAAAUAUAUAAAACUGGCAUUUGUUUCUGAAUCUUCUUUGUGCUUAGUUUAAUGCCCUAUAAGUACUGAAUGAGUAUUUCAUUGGUUGAAUAAAUGACCUCUAUGUAUAAGGAGACUCA
rnacentral:lncRNA from 12 species